CCCGCGGGGGCGGGACACGGGGAGGGAGGCGGGACGGCCCCCCGUCUCCUUCCCUCCCCGCCGGGCCGGCCUCGCUGGGUGCAAUGUUUUGCCGGAGCGCGGGCCGGGCCCUCCGGGCUCUGGCGCUGCUGCAGUUGCAGCCGCCCGCCCGGGCAGCGCCGCUCACGGCCCGGGGACCGGCCGCCUGCUACGGUACUUCAAUAACAUCUGCCAAAAUCCAAGUGAAUGGAGUCCACCUGCAUUACCAACAAACAGGAGAAGGAAGCCACGCAGUUCUUCUGCUUCCAGGAAUGCUAGGAAGUGGUGAAACUGAUUUUGGGCCGCAGCUUAAGUCUAUGAAUAAGCAACUUUUCACAGUUGUUGCUUGGGAUCCUCGGGGCUAUGGAAAGUCCAUUCCUCCAUCUCGAGACUUUCCUCCAGAUUUCUUUGAGAGGGAUGCAAAAGAUGCCGUGGAUCUUAUGCAGGCACUGAAGUUUAAGAAGUUCUCCUUGCUGGGGUGGAGUGAUGGUGGAAUUACAGCUCUCAUUGCUGCUGCAAAGUACCCAAAUCUUAUCCACAAGUUGGUUGUCUGGGGAGCAAAUGCCAGCGUUACUCAAGAGGAUGUGAGAAUUUACAAUGGCAUCAGAGAUGUUUCAAAAUGGAGUGAAAAGGUCAAGAAACCACUGGAAGAGCUGUAUGGACAUAAGUACUUCGCAGAAACCUGUGAGGCUUGGGUAGAUGGAAUAUCGCGCUUUGCUGAAAAUUCAGAUGGUAAUAUCUGCCAACAGUUGCUGCCAGAUAUUAAAUGUCCCACAUUUAUAAUUCAUGGUGAGAAAGACCCUUUGGUCCCACAAGCUCAUGCAGAAUACAUUCAUAAGCACAUCAAAGGCUCUCGGUUGCUUCUGAUGCCAGAAGGAAAGCAUAAUUUACACCUGCGUUUUGCAAAGGACUUCAACAGAGAAGUGGAAGAUUUCUUACGCUGACAUGAACUGUAAAACAAGUCAGAGGUGCUUAGCCUUUGCCUUGUUUAGGAAUUUUGGUUGGCUUUCCAUUUUCAAUGGAGUUAUAGAAGAGAAACUAGCUUUGCCACCCAUCUGGCCACCCUGUUGAGGACAGCUUUACCCUAGCACCAGGGAAGGGAGAUGACAGCCCACAAUGAAGCAAGGAAUUGGUGAAGAGGAUGCAAAACAAUGUACCUUGUGUUCAGCCUAAUGGAACUGGAGAGAGUUCACCUUAAGCACAACAUUAAAGCACCAAGGGGACAGCCUGAUAAUGCAAGCUCUAAAACUUUGCCAAGUGUCAACGGGCUCAGCAUAGUUAACAUUGCUUAUUUUGUGAAGGCUUUUGAACUGUCUCCUAUAACAUCCCUGUAGGCCAGUUGAUGAGGUAUGGCCUAGAUAAAUGGACAGUGAGAUGGAGUGAAAACUGGCUGAGCUGCCGAGCUGAAGGGCUUGACAUCAGCAAUAUGAAAUUCAUGUUGAAGCCAACCACUGGUGCUGUAGUCCAGUGGCUGAUCCCUGGCCAACACCAUUUAACUGCUUCAUUAGUGAAUUUAUCAUCAAGAGAGCACACCCUCAGCAAGUCUGCUGAUGAUACAAACUGGGAGUAGGGUCUGACACAUCAAGGGAUUGUGCUGCCAAUCCAGAGUGACCACAGUAGGCUGGAGAAAUGGAUGGCUGACAGGAACCUCAUGCAAUUUAACAAAGGGAAGUGCAAAGUCCUGUACCUGGAAAGGAACAAACCACUGAACCAGUACAUGCCCAGGACCACCCAGAUGCUUAGCCAAAAACAGCCUGGAGGUCCUGGUGGACACCAAGUUGAACAUGACUGAGCAGUGUGCCCUAAGAGCAAGGGUUUUCCAGCAGCAUCCUUGUUUAAGGAGGAUUGUUACCAGUGGGUCAUGGAAGGGGAUAAGCUGUGGUGAGAUGCAUCUGGAAUUUUACAACCAAUUCUGGGCUCCCUAAUAUAAGAGAGAGAUGGCCAUUUUGGAGUGAGUCCAAUGAAAGGCCGUGAAGGCAGUUAAGGAAGUGGAGCAUCUGUCACACAGAGUGUCUGAGAGCUGGGACCAAUUUCCUAGAGAAGGCUCAGGGAAUUCUUAUCAGUGUGUAUAAAUACUUGAUGGGAAGCAGUAAAAAAGACGGAGCCAGGCUCCUCUCAGAGGUGUGCAGUGACAGGAGGAGAGGCAGUGGACAUGCCUGAGCAACACAUGAUAUCACACAAUAUCAGUGGACACAGACUGAUGUACAGAAAUCUGAACAUAAAAAAGCCCCCAAAACCAAAACCCAAACUACUUUGCUCUGGUACAGGUUGCCCAGAGAGAUUGUGGUGUGUCCAGUCGUGGAGACAGUCAAAACCCUAGUGGGCACAACCCUGAUUUAUCUGUUCUAGCUGACCUUGUCAGGCAAAAUAAAGGACUAGACUAAAUGAUCCCAGAGUUUUUGUCCAACCUCCACAACUGUGUGGUUGUAUGAAAGGGAAAGAAAGGAGUGGGAGGCUGUGUGUGAUCAGCAACACCAGACUGACAGUUUAUUCAUCUCAGUUUCUCACUAGAGCAUAACAUUGUAUUGCAAUUAUAACACCUUCAAAACAAGAAGAUUUUUGCAAAGGUGAGGUAAUAAUUGAUGUGAGAAAUCAUUACCACUAUCAAGAAUAAAGUCAGAAUUAUCAGAAGUGUCUACAUAAUACUCAGGUUAGCUAUACUUAACACAAUAUAAAUCAAUGCAUAAUGUUACCAGUUUCACUCUUUUUUUUUUUUUCAUCAACAGCAGGAAUUACUAGUGGCUAAAGAACUACCAUAUCUUUGCCUGGAAUUUGGCUGCUGUGACCUUGAAAAAGUGCUUUGGCUGUAUUUUCAACAGUAGCUCUCAGUUUGCUCCAGUGAAUUAACUUUCUUAUCAACUGUAGCUCAUUUUCUUCCCUAGUGCAGAAACCUCAGCUGCUGGGAAAUGUCAUGAGCACAGAUUGGCUUAAGCUUUGCAACACAGGGAAUUAAGUGUGGUGUUAUUCCAUGUGGCUUUUGCAAUCACAAAAUAUUCCGGGCUGUGCUGGCACUGAGAUAUUUUCACCAAAUUCUUUAGGAGUUUGUGUUCUUUAUAUCCCAGCUGUUGUCAGUAUUUUCUUUUGACAUAUUUCAGCAACACUUAAUCAGAGGCGGCCUUUGUUAUUGUUCGCAGCACUUGGGCAUAUACAUUUGUACUUGCUGUAGGCAUAACCCACCUAUUGGGCAGCAGCAGGCAGUCACAUCUUCUAACUACUGGUGGGACUGCAACACAACUGCAUCUCUGGCAUCUCUGAGAGAUCCACACAGACACUGAAGAGCUUUUUAGGUGCCAGAAUACUCCUGGCAAUCCACAAAGUCCUGGCUUGAAGCAUUAUGAUUUUUCUCUUGAAGACACCUGGACACUCCCUGAGAUUCCUUCUUCCCACAUGCACACAGUGACCUCCUUUAGAGUUAUUCCACUGAGAAUUCUUUUAUUAGGAAACUAAUUCUUAGAUACUGUAGUACUGGUCUCUUUGUAGAUUCCCACUGUUUCUUUCAGGGUGGGAAUGUAGCUCCAGAUUUUAUUCUGAGUACCUAAAGGGAAGUACAUGUUUAUGUGUACAAGUUCCUUAAUCUUCAGCAAUGCUGAACAUCAGUGAACACACAGUGAACCGAACUAAAUGUCAACUGCUUGAAGGUCAAUUCAGAGCCUUUCAGUAUGGCAAACACUUUAACAAAUCUUAGCCAUCAAGGAUACUUAGAUGUGGGAAUUCCCUCUUGGUUUGGGUUUUCUAAAUAUAGCUCUAUAAGUUCUAAGUUGUCAGAAUUGCAAAUGAAAGCCAAAAUUCUCCCAUUCACACAAAGGCAGGGCACGUGCCCAGGAACACCCAUGGGCUCCUCGGCAGCCGAAACUCUGCCACAGCCUCCUCCCUGCCUGCAUCAAGCCCUGCCUACCCAGUUUCCAAGGCAACGGUGGAGCCUGGCGAUAGAUGCACAAGGGAGGCAACAGGGAUCCCACAACAUUUUCAUGUCUGUCUGUGAUUUCCCAUUGUUUGAGAAAGAAUCACAAGUGUACACAUAGGAAAGCUUCUCAAGCACACAAAAUGUCUGCCCAAGGCUUUAUUCUCAGUCAUUUGUCAGGGAUGAUAUCAUGUGUUGCUCAGAUAUGUAUAUCAGACACAACAUGGCUUUUUGAGUCUUUCUGUUGGUACUCAAAUGAGCAUGCUCUGUUUGUUACCUUAUUGUUUGCCUUCUACCUGGUAACUAUGACAUUCCCAGCUAGUGAGGACUGUAUGAGGCCACCUUUGGAAAUUGAUGCCUAAUCAUUUGCAAUAUGCAUUAAGAUUGAGGAAUAUUCUACCAGCAAGAGGAUGGAAUGACUGGGAAAGUGAUUUUCAUGCUAAUAAUAAAAUAUCCAAAAGGGAAAUCUAUUUUUAUUUCAAUAUUACAGCUGACUGCAGGCAUUUAACUCGUUGUAUUAAAUACAACAACGCUGAGCAUGUUUUUAUGAAUGAGCAAAAGCAGUUUCAUUGUAGAGCCCUCUGAACUUUUGUUUAUUAUACCUGAGGGUCUGUGUGUUUGGCCAAGAACAAAAGAGGCGAGAGGAUAAGUGUGUGAGAGAAAAUCACAUUACAGAGCAAUUUGGGACACAGUCAAUUCUGAAAUAACCCAUGCACCUUUAGAAGGGAGAACAGCUUCUCAGUGAAUCUAAUAUUUCUUCCACACCAUAUGGUUCCUCUUGUGAAUUUAGAUUAUAACCUCUGAGAGUCAGGCAUUUCUGUGCAUGUGCUUGUACAGGACAGAGCAAACAGAACCCUGCUUUUCUGGCUUCCAAAGUUACCAUAAUAAACAUGAUCACAUGUCACAAAACAAUUCCAAAAAGGGGAAAAUGUGGUGAUCAUCAUCAGGCAGCGAUUUACUGAGAAGAAAAGCAAAACAAGGCAGCCUCUCAUUAUUUCCUCUUGGCACACCAGAUGUGAUGGGGUAGCAGCCAGAUGGCUCCUGCCCCCAUCCAGGCUGCAUCUACCUUUUUUUAGAUUGCUCAGUAGAUGGAACAUAUCUGAUAGAGAUACUAUGAACUGGGUCCUCCAGUCAAAAGAUGACUAAGAUUCCAGCAUCAAUAUAAAUGAAAUGCUGAUAUCAUGUUUUCCAGGGCAGUUCACUUCCUGCACGUCAUCGAGAACAAGGUACAGAUAGAGAUUUUGAUCUGCUAGUUACUGUUUCUUUUGUUCCUUAGCCUCCUUGCUUUCUUGCAAUCUGAUAGUUACUUGUAACUCAAACUGACACUGGGCAAACUCCGAACUACGUCUUGUGAGGUUUGCUAAGAGAUGCAGUAGUUUGUGGUGGGAUUCAGUGUACACUGUUUAAAAUUGCCCGAGUUCUCUGCAGGAGAGUUUAGGGUGAUGUUGCAGUAGGUGGCUGAAUCAACCAAAUACCUUGUUUUGCUCUCUCCUGCUUCCAGCUGCCCACAUUUCCCUCCUUCUUUGCACAAGUUCUCCCUCUGGCACACGACCUAAUUGAAAAGAAACCUUCUUCCACCCCCUCAAUUUUCUGUCCUUAACUGUGGAGCUAAGGAAAAAACUGGUGAAAGGGUCAGACAUGCCCUGGAGCUGGUAGAGGAAAUGACACAGGGGUAACACCUGAAGAGGGGCAAGGGGAAUAGGACCAUCCUUUUUUAGCAGCUAGAGGAUACUGAAUCAGCCCACCUGUGGAAGUGGCAGUUUUCUCCAUGCCAAUAAAAUCUCUAAUUCCUGCCUGCUAGGGUGGAGCUGGAAAUUUCUUGGCUGAAAUUUUAAAAAAAAAAAAAAACAAAACAACCACACAAUUAAUUUAUUAAUUAUAAGGCCAGCACUAGGCUAGAUGCAGAGAAACAUGUUGUAAGAAGUCAGUGCAUGAAUUUCAUUAAGCGUUUGUAAAGCUUGUUGUGAGACUAUUUGAAUUCUGCUUGAAACCCCUGUUUAAUUAUUCACUAUGGAGACAGGCAGUAUCUUUCUAUUACAUUCAUGGAAAAUGUGAAAACAUUUUUCACUGCAAAACAACACAGAACCUUUUACUGAAUAAGCUUCACAGCUUCUGCCAGGGUAACCACUUCACUUCAGCCACUCUGGAGCAAGUGUGUUUUUUUCACAUUCUGCUUAAACUGAACUUUUUUUUUUUUCCCCCAAUAAUGGAGGCAUUUUUUUGCCAUAUAUGAAAAAAAAAACCCAAAACAAAACCAAAAAACUAUGCCUUAAGCUUUCCAAGGAGGCCUAGUGAGAAAAAUAACCUGAUUAUAAAGGAUGACAUAUGGAUAAAUUGAGACCAGUUGGAAAAUCUCUACACUAGAAGAAUCAAAUGUUAAUAAACAAGAACUUAACAGAGUUAAUUUGAUUUCUUCCCUUACAAGUGGAAUUCUGCCUUUAAGGGAAAAAUUACUUUGAGUGGGGAGGAGGGAUUGCCCUACUCUUAAAUUAUUUCUUUUUUUUUUUUUUUUUACCUAGAUAGUGUAAAUAGAAAUCCUUCUUAUACAUACACUUCAAAGAGACACAAUUUUUCUUUCUGGCAGAUUCACAAAGAAAAUAUGGAAAUAGGAGUGAAGCUAGGAGCAGGGAAACAGCUCAUCUCUUGUUAAACUUCCCAGGGAGAGGACUUGUCACCUGCAUCCCUUGUUGUGUCCUUUGCUGGCAGAAUGUCUGGGGAUGGGCAGGCUUUUACAGCAAACCCCACACCCUCCCUCUGCCUCGCUUUCCAUUGCUCAGAGGCCUCCAGCUGGACAACUGUCCAGGAGACUCAGGGCCAAGAAAUGUCUUUUUCCAAAAUGCAUCAUGUCCUGAGGCACUUUCCUGUGACCAAAUGCUCUGAUUUUGAAUUUUCUUGUAGGCAAGCUAAAGAUGAGACCCAUUUAAAUGGGAGUAUCUGAGAAAAAAUUGUCUGCUCUUUCCCAUUUUAAUAAAUAACAAACAGAUCAAGACAGGUGGUUGCUGAAGUACCAAAAGAGAGGUGCUUAGUAUGAAUGGAUUUUAGAUUGGAAGGUGAAAAAUUCUCUGAAGGUUUGUUUUUCUUUUUAAGUCACAUACAAAAUCAGCUCCUUGUCUGUAGAGAUUUAUUUUUAGCUGAAGAAAGGGGAAGAAAAAUAACCUUUACUCAGAUUACCCCAGGCACAUAUAAAGCAUCAAAAGUGUCACAAGCUUUGUUCUGUGGAAAUGUAGAAGCAGCUGAAAAAGCAAAUGGGAAGAUUGAGAAAGGGAUUAUUUGUAAGUAAAAAAACAGUGCCUUGCCUACAAUGAACAGGCUUGGAGGAAUAAUGUUACCCAUAACUCCUGUGCAGGCUAUUAUUUCUGAAACAUAUUUGUUCAUUAUGCUUUGAUGUGGAGAGGAAAAGGAGAAUAACAUCCUUUGGGAGAAAAGUUGUGUAUCAAAUAAUAGGGCAUAGUCACAGGAUUUCUCCAGAGAAGAUUUUACCUCCUCAUAGCUACUAUAGCAAACAAAAAUAUUAGGCUUCAUUAAACAGAAAGCAGUAAUUAAAGCACCUCCCACUGUGAGGCAGAAUCUAAUACAGAUUAACAGCCCUUCUUAAAAAAAAAAGCAAUAAAACAAUGAGAUGUGGGGGGUUGGGUUUGGGUUCUUUUGGGUGGGAGAGAGAGGGGUAUUUGGAAAGUGAUUGCAGUGGAACAGCCAUGUUACUUGCUGAGUUUCAUCCUAAUCUUACAAAUAACUUGGCUAUGGGGAUUCCAGGGAGGGCAAAGGACAAAGGAAUCAAGAGGAGAACUCUUUCUAAUGCAGGGAGUAUUGUUAGAGGCCCCAACUUUUUUAAGUGACACAAGAAAACUUGUCCCUCUUGCACCGCUUUGCCAGAGUCGCUCCAGGCAUCGGAACUGUGCUGUGCAGUAGUGCAUGGCAGCGCCAUCCCAUAAGGACUCUGUCAGUCCAUCACACUUUCUUUAAGCCCAUAGGACUUGCAUGUCUAGAAAAACCUACCAGCACCGCACACUUUUGUGCUAUGUAGCACAUGAUAUCAUCAUCCAUGAGCAGAUUUCCCAGCACAGAUUAAAGGUCUGUCCUGUUUUUGCAGGGAAUUCACUGGAGAGAAAACCCAAACAUCUGGAUUGUCUUCUUUCUUUAGGUUUUAAAACCUAUUGCUACUUUGGUUUAUUCUGUUCAUCACCUCAUACCUUCUGGAAUGAGACACUUGUCAACAGAAUGGGCCUCUGGUUUGAUCCUUAGUCUAUUAUGUCAUGCCAUUUUAUACUUAAUGCAACCCAGUUUUUGAUUUAUGUAGGCACUGCAUGUAUCUUGGGAAGAGGAGAAUCAUUAUGGCUCCCACUUGAAAGACUGGAAAACAUCUGUUGGAAAACAGAUGUAAGCUUACAAUCCCAUUACAAGUUUUGAAAUAUCAGACCACAUACUGGAUUAUAUUUCCACAACACUGUUGCUACAAUGGUUUAGACUGAGGUUCGAGAAAUAACAAGGGAAGAGAAAUUAGGAGAGAGGGCACCCCAGUGCUACCAUUUCUAUUUAAAUAAAACCUGCAUGCUGCCUUGUUGUUUUUACAACCUUAUUUACCUUUACACUCUUGCACUCCACAGCAGUUGAGCACUGAUUGGUUUCCUUGGUCAAGACACUCUACUAACCUGCUUAAAAAUUCCACACAUUUAACAAAAGGGAAUUAAAAAAAAAAAAAAAGAGAUUGUUCCCUUCCCCAACACCAUCAGCUCUAAUUGUCAACAGAGGAGAAUGCUUCCCUUCAGGCCACAACUGAUCUAUUGAAAUGAGAAUAGAUUGCUUUAUACUAUUAACUUAUAUCUCAACACAAAUCAGUCAUUAUAAGUGGCUUAAUCUGCAGACCACUAAAUUUGUAUUAUCUAUCCCCAUUUCUUCCAAACAGGGUGCCUCAUGCAAGACCUUUAGCCUUAAAUGUAUCAUUCAUUACAUGCAUAAAUAUAAAUCUUCACCCAGGAGAGGUUAAGGCAGUCAGAUAACCUCAUCUGAAAUCCUUCCAGUAGUUCUGCUUUCUUUGUGAAACAGAAAAAUUGCAAUCACAAAGACCUGUGAAGACACUUCUUUGUUGUUUGGCAUAUAGCAGUCAGCUCCAGUUUUUAUAAUGAAAGGUGUCCUGGGCAAGAAAUACAGCUAAAGAUCAAAGAUAGACAAAAAUAGGUACUGCAGUCCCAGACCCAGGAUGAGACUCAACCUCCCUUAUAUUUGACUUACUGUUCCUACCAAGCUUUG